AUGAAAAAACUGGCUGUGAUGUGCUUCUUCUCAGCUCUCAUAUGUGACAGUCUGGAGGAUGGAAUCACUGCCAGCAGAGCUGAAGUCUUUUCAUCAGAGGAGAUCACAGUUACUCUGUCCUGUAAUUAUUCAGGUAGCACUAACAAUCUGCAGUGGUAUCGACAGGAUCCAGGAUCAGCUCCUCAGUUCCUCCUCCUGAUCACUGAUAUCAACGAACCCAUUGUGAUGAAAGCAAAACCUCCAAACUCCAGACUGACUGCAGUCCUGAACCAGGAGAGGAACCAGGCCCAUCUACAGAUCUCCUCUGCUGCA